AUUGAACGCUGGCGGCAGGCCUAACACAUGCAAGUCGAGCGAGCGGCGGACGGGUGAGUAAUGCCUAGGAAUCUGCCUGGUAGUGGGGGAUAACUACUGGAAACGGUAGCUAAUACCGCAUACCAUCAGCUGUGCCCAGAUGGGAUUAGCUUGUUGGUGGGGUAACGGCCCACAAAGGCGACGAUCCCUAGCUGGUCUGAGAGGUUGACCAGCCACACUGUAACUGAGAAACGGUCCAGACACCUACGGGAAGAGGAAGUGGGGAAUAUUGCACAAAGGGCGCAAGCCUGAUGCAGCCAUGCAGCGUGUAUGAAGAGGGCCUUCGGGUUGUAAAGUACUUUCAGCGGGGAGGCGUUAACCGCAGAAGAAGCACCGGCUAACUCCGUGCCAGCAGCCGCGGUAAUUC
rnacentral:rRNA from 1 species